AGCGAACGCUGGCGGCAGGCUUAACACAUGCAAGUCGAGCGGGCGUAGCAAUACGUCAGCGGCAGACGGGUGAGUAACGCGUGGGAACAUACCUUUUUGGUUCGGAACAACACAGGGAAACUUGUGCUAAUACCGGAUAAGCCCUUACGGGGAAAGAUUUAUCGCCGAAAGAUUGGCCCGCGUCUGAUUAGCUAGUUGGUGAGGUAACGGCUCACCAAGGCGACGAUCAGUAGCNGGUCUGAGAGGACGAUCAGCCACAUUGGGACUGAGACACGGCCCAAACUCCUACGGGAGGCAGCAGUGGGGAAUAUUGGACAAUGGGCGCAAGCCUGAUCCAGCCAUGCCGCGUGAGUGAUGAAGGCCCUAGGGUUGU
rnacentral:rRNA from 1 species